rnacentral:rRNA from 1 species
AGUGAACGCUGGCGGUAGGCCUAACACAUGCAAGUCGAACGGCAGCACAGUAAGAGCUUGCUCUUACGGGUGGCGAGUGGCGGACGGGUGAGGAAUACAUCGGAAUCUACUUUUUCGUGGGGGAUAACGUAGGGAAACUUACGCUAAUACCGCAUACGACCUACGGGUGAAAGCAGGGGAUCUUCUGACCUUGCGCGAUUGAAUGAGCCGAUGUCGGAUUAGCUAGUUGGCGGGGUAAAGGCCCACCAAGGCGACGAUCCGUAGCUGGUCUGAGAGGAUGAUUCGCCACCCUGGAACUGAGACACGGCCCAGACUCCUACGGGAGGCAGCAGUGGGGAAUAUUGGACAAUGGGCGCAAGCCUGAUACAGCAAUACCGCGUGGGUGAAGAAGGACUUAGGGUUGUAAAGCCAUUUUGUUGGGAAAGAAAAGCAGCAGGUUAAUACCCCGCUGUUCUGACGGUACCCAAAGAAUAAGCACCGGCUAACUUCGUG